GACGAGUCCAUCUUUACAGCAAGCUCUGUUCUUAUGGUCAAAGCUCAUCCUUCGAUGUCUUUAUCCCACUGACAGCGUCGUUACGAUUAUCUACACCGAGAGUGAGGAUAGACAAAAAAUCAUACACCAUGUCCGCUGCGGCAAUGGCGGAUAUCUCGGCUAGCAUAGUAGGAUUAAGCAAGCGUUUGAAUUGUAGAAAGGGGGCCACCCACCAUUGGUAUCAUAAGCAGGCGAAAGUUCCACAAUGUCCAAGGCUACGAUAUUGAGUCCACUCAGCAGGGUCCAUGACAUCGACGUCAAGACUAAUCACGACCGGUCCACCACCGAUUCUGUUUUUAAUCUUCUCUGAGAUCCAAUCAACCCCAAAGUCAUCCAAAUCAAAAGUAUGGAUAAGAUCAAAUCCUGCAGUCACAUCAUCUUCCAAAUCCUGGGGCCCCUAAUUGUAGCAGUCAAUAUCGUAGAAUUCUUAGUGUCAAUCACUUACCCCAAAACGGGUUCUUAUACCGGCGUGGAUGGAUGAAUUAGGCUUUAUG
rnacentral:sRNA from 1 species